UUGAAACACCCAUUCCCAUACAAUCAUCAAAGUUAAGCAACAUCAAGCCUGGUCAGUAUUUAGAUUGCUGACCGCUCGGGAAUACCAGGUGUUGUAAG